rnacentral:rRNA from 1 species
AGUGAACGCUGGCGGUAGGCCUAACACAUGCAAGUCGAACGGCAGCACAGUAAGAGCUUGCUCUUACGGGUGGCGAGUGGCGGACGGGUGAGGAAUACAUCGGAAUCUACUUUUUCGUGGGGGAUAACGUAGGGAAACUUACGCUAAUACCGCAUACGACCUACGGGUGAAAGCAGGGGAUCUUCGGACCUUGCGCGAUUGAAUGAGCCGAUGUCGGAUUAGCUAGUUGGCGGGGUAAAGGCCCACCAAGGCGACGAUCCGUAGCUGGUCUGAGAGGAUGAUCAGCCACACUGGAACUGAGACACGGUCCAGACUACUACGGGAGGCAGCAGUGGGGAAUAUUGGACAAUGGGCGCAAACCUGAUCCAGCCAUACCGCGUGGGUGAAGAAGGCCUUCGGGUUGUAAAGCCCUUUUGUUGGGAAAGAAAAGCAGCAGGUUAAUACCCCGCUGUUCUGACGGUACCCAAAGAAUAAGCACCGGCUAACUUCGUG